rnacentral:rRNA from 1 species
GACGAACGCUGGCGGCGUGCUUAACACAUGCAAGUCGAACGGAAAGGCCCUGCUUUUGUUGGGUGCUCGAGUGGCGAACGGGUGAGUAACACGUGAGUAACCUGCCCUUGACUUUGGGAUAACUUCAGGAAACUGGGGCUAAUACCGGAUAGGAGCUCCUGCUGCAUGGUGGGGGUUGGAAAGUUUCGGCGGUUGGGGAUGGACUCGCGGCUUAUCAGCUUGUUGGUGGGGUAGUGGCUUACCAAGGCUUUGACGGGUAGCCGGCCUGAGAGGGUGACCGACCACAAUGGGACUGAGAGACGGACCAGACGCCUACGGGAGGCAGCAGGGGGGAAUAUUGCACAAUGGGCGGAAGCCUGAGGCAGAAACGCCGCGUGCGGGAUGACGGCCUUCGGGUUGUAAACCGCUUUCGACUGUGACGAAGCGUGAGUGACGGUAAUGGGUAAAGAAGCACCGGCUAACUACGUG